rnacentral:rRNA from 1 species
CACGUAGGGUGCGAGCGUUGUCCGGAAUUAUUGGGCGUAAAGAGCUCGUAGGCGGUUUGUCGCGUCGGGAGUGAAAACACGGGGCUUAACCCCGUGCCUGCUUCCGAUACGGGCAGACUAGAGGUAUGCAGGGGAGAACGGAAUUCCUGGUGUAGCGGUGAAAUGCGCAGAUAUCAGGAGGAACACCGGUGGCGAAGGCGGUUCUCUGGGCAUUACCUGACGCUGAGGAGCGAAAGUGUGGGGAGCGAACAGG